rnacentral:lncRNA from 1 species
UUGAAUAUCUGCCUGGUCCAGUUUCCCAUAUCCAUCGUGUGAUCGCCAAGGCAGCGAACCCAUGGCGGACUCGGUGGAGACGUUCCAGACCCAUCUAACCUCAGUCAUGGACAGUUUGAUCCGCGCAUCGGUGUGCGAGAUCACCAAACUGUUCCAGGACACGGUGAAUGACUAUCUGGUGGAAAUAUCGCUGAACAGGAAGGAAAUGGACGCUCUAAAACUCCGACUCCGACUGACGGAGAACAAACUGAGAAAUGAACGCAAGUACGGGAUGGGGUGGGCAGAGAAUCGCCGCAAUGCUGGUUUGAUAGUGUCUGAGGACGGUGGGCGGAAAAAGCGGAAAAUUGAAGUGCCUCGAGGAAAGCAGACGCUGGGCCUUGCCUUGGGAGGCGCGGGGGAGGAGGAAGGAGGAGCAGCCAGGGUAGUAAUGGGGGGAGGGUGGAAGGAGGCACGCGAGCUGUACCUCAUUCAGUUCCCCGGGGAGGAAGGAGAACUGGAGGAGGAGGGGGGCUGUGUUUCAGGAGAGGGGGAGGAGACGGACAACAUCAAAGAGGAGGUGAGGGAGAUGAGUCUGAAUAUGUCCUACACAACGUCACUGCAUCAGAGACCACUAUACUGAACACAAAUCUAACGCAACAUGUAACAUUUUCAAAGAUUUUACUGUCUUACAGUUCAUAUAAGUAAAACCGGUCAAUUGAAAUGCAUUCAUUAGGCCCUAAUCUAUGGAUUUCACAUGACUGGGAAUGCAGAUAUGCAUUUGUUGGUCACAGAUAACUUUAAAAAUAAAAAAGUUGGGUGUGGAUCAGAACCAGUCAGUAUCUGGUGUGGCCACCAUUUGCCUCAUCCAGCACAACGCAUCUCCUCAGAGUUGAUCAGGCUGUUGAUUGUGACCUGUGGAUUGUUGCACCACUCGUCUUCAAUUGCUGUGUGACGUUGCUGGAUAUUGGCGGUAACUGGAACACGAUGUCAUACACGUUGAUCCAGAGCAUCCCAAACAUGCUCAAUGCUGACAUGUCUGGUAAGUAUGCAGGUCAUGGAUGAACUGGGAAAUGUUCAGCUUCCUGGAAUUAUGUACAGAUCCUUGCAACAUGCGGCUGUGCAUUAUCAUGCUGAAAUAUGAGGUGGUGGAUGAAUGGCCUCAGGAUCUCGUCACUCUAUCUCUGUGCAAUCCAAAUUGCCAUCAAUAAAAUGCGGUUGUGUUCGUUGUCUGUAGCUUAUACCUGCCCAUACCAUAACCCCACCGCCACCAUGGGGCACUGUUAACAACGUUGACAUCUGAAAACCACUCUCCCACAUGACCCCAUACACGUGGCCUGCGGUUGUGAGGCCGGUUGGACGUACUAACAAAUUCUCUAAAACUACGUGGGAGUUGGCUUAUGGGAGAGAAAUGAACAUUCAAUUCUCUGGCAAUAGCUCUGGUGGACAUUCCUGCAGUCAGCAUGCUCCCUCAACUUGAGACAUCUGUGGCAUUGUUGUGACAACGGCAUAUUUUAUUGGCCUUUUAUUGUCCUCAGCACAAGGUACACCUGUGUAAUGGUCAUGCUGUUUAAUCAGCUUCUUGAUAUGCCACACCUGUCAGCUGGAUGGAUUAUCUUGCCAGAAGAGAAAUGCUCACGAACAGGGAGAACGUUUUGUUUUGUGCGUAUAUGGAACAUUACUGGGAUCUUUUAUUUCAGCUCAUGAAACAUGGGACCGACACUUUACAUGUUGCAUUUUAUAUUUUUGUUCAGUGAAGUUUGUAAAAAUAACAAUGUUCUCAGUCUCACCACAUGCUGAUACAAUGUUCAUCUGCUGUGGUUGUGUGAGAUGGCGUGGAUGUUGGAAAGACACUGAUUUGAUAUUCAGGUGCAGAAGUGCUUGUUCAGAAAGUGCACUCAAGUGUAGAACGUUGUAGACCCUAAACAUGAAUAUAAUUUUAGGGCGGAGCAGCUGUGUAUUCUACCAGGUGACUUAAAGAAUACAAUUGUCUUCAUGUCAUCUUAAACUGUCUAAACAUUGUACGUUUGCAGAAAAUGCCCAGUGUAAAACUUGAACAGUGUUCUUUGGGGUACUUGCAAAGUGCACUUUCAUAAGUAUUUACAUGAAAUGCUGGGGGUGCUAGUGAACUCUGCAUUGCAUUAAUGUUACUGUAUUGUAGUCUAUUGUGGGUAAUGUAGUUAGUUUUGCUCUGUCUGUAGUCCAGUGACGUGGUGGAGGGGGGCUACCAGCCUGCGUCUCUGCGGC